UGGGGAAUUUUGGACAAUGGGCGAAAGCCUGAUCCAGCAAUGCCGCGUGUGUGAAGAAGGCCUUCGGGUUGUAAAGCACUUUUGUCCGGAAAGAAAUCCUUGGCUCUAAUACAGUCGGGGGAUGACGGUACCGGAAGAAUAAGCACCGGCUAACUACGUGCCAGCAGCCGCGGUAAUACGUAGGGUGCAAGCGUUAAUCGGAAUUACUGGGCGUAAAGCGUGCGCAGGCGGUUUGCUAAGACCGAUGUGAAAUCCCCGGGCUCAACCUGGGAACUGCAUUGGUGACUGGCAGGCUAGAGUAUGGCAGAGGGGGGUAGAAUUCCACGUGUAGCAGUGAAAUGCGUAGAGAUGUGGAGGAAUACCGAUGGCGAAGGCAGCCCCCUGGCAAGUACUGACGCUCAUGCACGAAAGCGUGGGGAGCAAACAGGAUUAGAUACCCUGGUAGUCCACGCCCUAAACGAUGUCAACUAGUUGUUGGGGGGUUCAUUUCCUUAGUAACGUAGCUAACGCGUGAAGUUGACCGCCUGGGGAGUACGGUCGCAAGAUUAAAACUCAAAUGAAUUGACGGGGUCAUAGCUGUUUCCU
rnacentral:rRNA from 1 species